rnacentral:rRNA from 1 species
UACGAAGGGGACUAGCGUUGUUCGGAAUUACUGGGCGUAAAGCGCACGUAGGCGGUCUUUUAAGUCGGGGGUGAAAUCCUGGAGCUCAACUCCAGAACUGCCUUCGAUACUGGAAGACUUGAGUCCGGGAGAGGUGAGUGGAACUGCGAGUGUAGAGGUGAAAUUCGUAGAUAUUCGCAAGAACACCAGUGGCGAAGGCGGCUCACUGGCCCGGUACUGACGCUGAGGUGCGAAAGCGUGGGGAGCAAACAGG